ACUCCUACGGGAGGCAGCAGUGGGAAGUAUUGCACAAUGGGCGCAAGCCUGAUGCAGCCAUGCCGCGUGUAUGAAGAAGGCCUUCGGGUUGUAAAGUACUUUCAGCAGUGAGGAAGGUGGUGUCGUUAAUAGCGGCAUCAUUUGACGUUAGCUGCAGAAGAAGCACCGGCUAACUCCGUGCCAGCAGCCGCGGUAAUACGGAGGGUGCGAGCGUUAAUCGGAAUUACUGGGCGUAAAGCGCAUGCAGGUGGUUUGUUAAGUCAGAUGUGAAAGCCCGGGGCUCAACCUCGGAAUUAGCAUUUGAAACUGGCAGACUAGAGUACUGUAGAGGGGGGUAGAAUUUCAGGUGUAGCGGUGAAAUGCGUAGAGAUA
rnacentral:rRNA from 1 species